UGCGUGCUCACCGCAGCCGCGGUAAUUGCAGCUCCGAUAGCGUAUAUUAAAGUUGUUGCAGUUAAAAAGCUCGUAGUUGAAUUUCGGGGUUAGUAGGUUGGUCAUGCCUCUGGUAUGUACUGGUCUCACUGAUUCCUCCUUCCUGAUGAACCGUAAUGCCAUUAAUUUGGUGUUGCGGGGAAUUUGGACCGU
rnacentral:rRNA from 1 species